rnacentral:sRNA from 1 species
UUGGGUGUUAAUUCGUAAACAAAAACAAGUUCUGGUGCACACAAUACAGAAUUGCUAAACAAAGUAUAACCAAAACAAUUUAUGUGCACCUUUUCUGCUCUGUAGAAUCAAUCUGUGAACUUUUUUACUUGUCAUUUUUAUUUCCUAGUUGGCAACUAGACUAUUGUGGCCCACGUGACUUUUUAUCUAUUUAAUUCCAAAUUUUUUCUUUAUCUUUUGUUUUUCUUUAGAUUCAAUUAUAUCGCCACCACUUUGUUUAUAUCGCUUCGAACUUUUUUUUUUCUCUUAGUGUGUAAACCUGAUCUAAAGUGGGCUGGUAAACAAAGAGCAGAUUACAGAGAUGAAUUACUAGUUUGAAAAUCCCCAGUUUAUAUACAAUAGACUCAUUACAAAAUACUAUAGAUAUGCAAUGAUAAUUUCUAAAAACAAAAAUAGGUCAUCGAUACUUAAACAGGCUUGACAUUUUUUUUAAAACUGGAUUUAGCUAGGAGACAUAAGAGAGAAUACAUUCAUAAUAUAUAGGUCUGUGAUUGAUAUAUGCUCAAAUUGGUGAAUAUUAUAAGAAACAAAACAUAGAAUCGCAUUGUUUUGAAACAUUAAUAAAAGUGUCGAUCACAAGCUCGCUUUUCUGAAUUUCUCGCUCAAAUAAUUAGCUGCCCGACAUUGUUUAUCUGCUCGGAUCAAAAAUACUUACACAAAUAGACUUAAUUAUUAGUCUUCUUGUUAUAAAAGACAGACGUUACUUAAAAAAAAAGAUGAUGAUUACAUCCUAGGCGUCAUGUCAAGAAAUUACCUCAUGCUUUCAUUAGUGUACAUUGUUUCAUAUAACUUUUCUUAUAGUCUUAUAGACUAUGAGGUUUUUGUCUAGACCAUAUUUGAUUACAUCCAGAGAAAGUAUUCUAAACAUUUAGAGCUGUGGUACCUCCCAGAUUCACGGUGUUUACUUUUGAUCUCCGAUAAAUAGAGUUUAGAAAAACAGGUUAUAUGUUCAUCAUUCUUUUUUCUUCAUGUUUUACUUUUAAUAUCACGUGAUAUUAUUUUCUCAUUUCAAUAAUUCUUAAACUGCUUUAUCUCUGUACGUUUCUGACACCAUAUCUUUAAAUUAUUUUACAUUUGUUUCAAUAUAUUUAUAUACAUAUUGAGAUCAGAACUGUAUAUUUAUCAUAUUCUUGAUAGUUCAAAAAUUUAAAUAAUCUUUGCAAACAUUCCUAGAUCCUAAAACGUAAAUCUGGAAAAUCAACAAAAUUUGCAGAAAAUGUUUUAAUUUAUUUUUGUUUGUGUUUUCUCAAUGAGUUGAGAGUGAUUUUGACCUUGUCACUGAACCUCUGUGACUGAACUAAAUCUUUCAUCUGUGAUUUCUGUGAGGGUGCACGACUUUAUGGUGAUGUGUUUUCUUCUGCUUUUUUUUUUAUUUACAUUUGACAUUGUCCAGAGUUGGCAUGAGUUAAUAUUGGGAGAUAAUCCGUUAAAUAUAGCCUUACUUCCCCUAGCCAUAAAAGUAAUAGCCUUUAUUUGUCUCAAAUUAUGUAAAACAACUUUCGUUCAUACACUAAUACGCUUAGUUAGUCAAGGUAUUCUUAUUCAAAUGUUAGGAAGAAUCUAUAACAUUUGUUAGUAAAGGUACUCUUAUUCAAAUGUUAGGAAGAAUAUAUAACGCUCUGUGUGUAAGAAGAAGUCCUAGCCCCAUGGUUCGCAGCCAAACAUUGUUUUUAGAUUGAAAUUCUAUAGUAGUAUUUUAAGUAAACAUUUAAACUAGCCUACAGUUGAAAGCCUAGUGAAACAAUUUGAAUAGAAAGAUGAUUAAAGAUAACCGAAGUUUCAUUUAAACUCAUUUAAACUCUAAGUUUAUUAAUGAGCCUAACAUCAAUGAUCAGCAAUUAAACCCUGCGCGAAGCUCUGGACAUGAUAGUCUGUAACAUUUAUAUGUCUGUUUUUUUUAAAUAUUACAGGUGAACUACAAUUCUAAAUGUGUUAAUGUUAAUGUACAAUCUAUUUUUGAAAACAAUGAUAUACUGUCUGUGGUAUUUACAUAACAUACUGUUGACUGCUUGUAUUCAUAAUAAAUUUCAAAGUUUAAUUUGCCA